rnacentral:rRNA from 1 species
GGGUUGUGAGGUUAAGCGACUAAGCGUACACGGUGGAUGCCCUGGCAGUCAGAGGCGAUGAAGGACGUGCUAAUCUGCGAUAAGCGUCGGUAAGGUGAUAUGAACCGUUAUAACCGGCGAUUUCCGAAUGGGGAAACCCAGUGUGUUUCGACACACUAUCAUUAACUGAAUCCAUAGGUUAAUGAGGCGAACCGGGGGAACUGAAACAUCUAAGUACCCCGAGGAAAAGAAAUCAACCGAGAUUCCCCCAGUAGCGGCGAGCGAACGGGGAGCAGCCCAGAGCCUGAAUCAGUGUGUGUGUUAGUGGAAGCGUCUGGAAAGGCGCGCGAUACAGGGUGACAGCCCCGUACACAAAAAUGCACAUGCUGUGAGCUCGAUGAGUAGGGCGGGACACGUGGUAUCCUGUCUGAAUAUGGGGGGACCAUCCUCCAAGGCUAAAUACUCCUGACUGACCGAUAGUGAACCAGUACCGUGAGGGAAAGGCGAAAAGAACCCCGGCGAGGGGAGUGAAAAAGAACCUGAAACCGUGUACGUACAAGCAGUGGGAGCA